rnacentral:tRNA from 1 species
AGUAAGAUCAGCUAAAUUAAGCUAUUGGGCCCAUACCCCAAAUAUGAUGGUUAAAAUCCUUCUUUUACUG